AGGAUAUUGCCUGGUCAUCGUUAUUUAUUGUCUAUCAGUAAUGUUGACAUCAAAGACGAGAUCAGAUACCGCGGUCGUUUUUAGGUCAUUUGUUUCGAAAAGUUUUGUGAACAGUUUGAGUUGGAUGAACAGAUAAAGAUUCAAGCAAAACUUCGAUCGAGAAGUUCGGUUCGUCCCUACCUCGAUCCCUACAUCAGUGAUGUCCUAUAUGUUUGAAGAUUGUUUCGACAUCAUGUCACUAAAGGAGUAGAAGUAAACCGGCAGACGACUCUCAGAAUCCGAGCGGCCCUGCAUUGCUCCAGCUUGAUCCAACCUUCGAUCUAUUUAACUCAGUCUCAUUGAUUACUAGAAUGGAAUAUAAAUAUGCUAC